UUGAAUCACCAAUUCCCAUAUGAUCACUAAAGUUAAGCAAAGUUGAGCAUGGUCAGUAUGUAGAUGGGUGACUGCUUGGAAAUACUAAGUGCUGAAG